GGCUCAGUGGUCUAGUGGUAUGAUUCUGGCUUUGGGUGCGAGAGGCCAUGGGUUCAGAUUCCUGUCUGAGCCC
rfam:Nematostella vectensis strain CH2 x CH6 NEMVEscaffold_330_Cont24019, whole genome shotgun sequence.